UACGUAGGGGGCAAGCGUUGUCCGGAUUUAUUGGGCGUAAAGAGCGUGUAGGCGGCCAAACAGGUCAGCUGUGAAAACUCGAGGCUCAACCUCGAGACGUCGGUUGAAACCGUUUGGCUAGAGUCCGGAAGAGGAGAGUGGAAUUCCCGGUGUAGCGGUGAAAUGCGCAGAUAUCGGGGAAGAACACCCGUGGCGAAGGCGGCUCUCUGGGACGGUACUG
rnacentral:rRNA from 1 species